CAAGGAUUCCCCUAGUAACUGCGAGUGAAGCGGGAAGAGCUCAAAUUUUGAAUCUGGCAGUCCUUGGCUGUCCGAGUUGUAAUCUAGAGAAGUGUUUUCCGCGCUGGACCGUGUAUAAGUCUCCUGGAAGGGAGCGUCAUAGAGGGUGAGAAUCCCGUCUUUGACACGGACUACCAGUGCUAUGUGAUGCGCUCUCGACGAGUCGAGUUGUUUGGGAAUGCAGCUCAAAACGGGUGGUAAACUCCAUCUAAAGCUAAAUACAGGCGAGAGACCGAUAGCGAACAAGUACCGUGAGGGAAAGAUGAAAAGAACUUUGGAAAGAGAGUUAAACAGUACGUGAAAUUGCUGAAAGGGAAACGCUUGAUGUCAGUCACGUUGGCUGGGGAUCAACCUUGCUUCUCGCUGGGUGUACUUCCCGGUCGACGGGUCAGCAUCAGUUUCAGUCGCUGUACAAGGGUGAGGGGAACGUGGCACUCCUCGGAGUGUGUUAUAGCCUUUCAUCGUAUGCAGUGGUCGGGACUGAGGAGCUCAGCACGGCUUCUUGCUUGC
rnacentral:rRNA from 1 species